rnacentral:rRNA from 1 species
AAUCCAUAGGUUAAUGAGGCGAACCGGGGGAACUGAAACAUCUAAGUACCCCGAGGAAAAGAAAUCAACCGAGAUUCCCCCAGUAGCGGCGAGCGAACGGGGAGGAGCCCAGAGCCUGAAUCAGCAUGUGUGUUAGUGGAAGCGUCUGGAAAGGCGCGCGAUACAGGGUGACAGCCCCGUACACAAAAGCGCAUGUGCUGUGAGCUCGAUGAGUAGGGCGGGACACGUGGUAUCCUGUCUGAAUAUGGGGGGACCAUCCUCCAAGGCUAAAUACUCCUGACUGACCGAUAGUGAACCAGUACCGUGAGGGAAAGGCGAAAAGAACCCCGGCGAGGGGAGUGAAAAAGAACCUGAAACCGUGUACGUACAAGCAGUGGGAGCACAGGUUUACCUGUGUGACUGCGUACCUUUUGUAUAAUGGGUCAGCGACUUAUAUUCUGUAGCAAGGUUAACCGAAUAGGGGAGCCGGAGGGAAACCGAGUCUUAAUUGGGCGUUAAGUUGCAGGGUAUAGACCCGAAACCCGGUGAUCUAGCCAUGGGCAGGUUGAAGGUUGGGUAACACUAACUGGAGGACCGAACCGACUAAUGUUGAAAAAUUAGCGGAUGACCUGUGGCUGGGGGUGAAAGGCCAAUCAAACCGGGAGAUAGCUGGUUCUCCCCGAAAGCUAUUUAGGUAGCGCCUCGUGAAUUCAUCUCCGGGGGUAGAGCACUGUUUCGGCUAGGGGGCCAUCCCGGCUUACCAACCCGAUGCAAACUGCGAAUACCGGAGAAUGUUAUCACGGGAGACACACGGCGGGUGCUAACGUCCGUCGUGAAGAGGGAAACAACCCAGACCGCCAGCUAAGGUCCCAAAGUCAUGGUUAAGUGGGAAACGAUGUGGGAAGGCCCAGACAGCCAGGAUGUUGGCUUAGAAGCAGCCAUCAUUUAAAGAAAGCGUAAUAGCUCACUGGUCGAGUCGGCCUGCGCGGAAGAUGUAACGGGGCUAAACCAUGCACCGAAGC